rnacentral:rRNA from 1 species
UACGAAGGGGGCUAGCGUUGCUCGGAAUCACUGGGCGUAAAGCGCACGUAGGCGGCUUCUUAAGUCAGGGGUGAAAUCCUGGAGCUCAACUCCAGAACUGCCCUUGAUACUGAGAGGCUCGAGUCCGGGAGAGGUGAGUGGAACUCCGAGUGUAGAGGUGAAAUUCGUAGAUAUUCGCAAGAACACCAGUGGCGAAGGCGGCUCACUGGCCCGAUACUGACGCUGAGGCACGAAAGCGUGGGGAGCAAACAGG